GACGAACGCUGGCGGCGUGCUUAACACAUGCAAGUCGAACGGAAAGGCCCUGCUUUUGUGGGGUGCUCGAGUGGCGAACGGGUGAGUAACACGUGAGUAACCUGCCCGUGACUUUGGGAUAACUUCAGGAAACUGGGACUAAUACCGGAUAGGAGCUCCUGCUGCAUGGUGUUGGCUGAAAAGUUUCGGCGGUUGGGGGUGGACUCGCGGCUUAUCAGCUUGUGGGUGGGGUAGUGGCUUACCAAGGCUUUGACGGGUAGCCGGCCUGAGAGGGUGACCGGCCACAUUGGGACUGAGAUACGAGCCAGAGUGCUACGGGAGGAAGCAGUGGGGAAUAUUGCACAAUGGGCGGAAGCAUGAUGCAGCAACGCCGCGUGCGGGAUGACGGCCUUCGGGUUGUAAACCGCUUUAGCCUGUGACGAAGCGUGAGUGACGGUAAUGGGUAAAGAAGCACCGGCUAACUACGUG
rnacentral:rRNA from 1 species